CCUACUUCGAACCAACCAUUAUUAUUACUAAUAUUAUUUAGUCCGCAAGUGAACCAUGGUACAAUGGUAUGCCUUCAGGAUGCUGUUAGGGCUGACCCGCAGCUGUAUCACGUAUUUCGCAGACAAUUAGCAGAAGACAAAUAUUGUGCAAAUAUUGCUGUCAACUGUCCAUUUCGUAUUACGGACUUACAACAAAAAAGCAGAUCGCGGACCAUCACUAGUGCUGCCUCUGCAGAGCGAUUUGUGAAACUUUAGUGCAUUCUUUUCCAUACAACUAACAACAACUGGCCUAAAGUCGGUAUUACGGAUGCUUUUGUGUGCCACACAACAGCAGAUAUUUAGCAAUUUCGUUUGUCAAAUUUGCGACACCUUUUGUAUCUGGUGCUGAAUUGUUGCUAACUAUCUGCAAGUGUAAAAUUUGUGAAAUUAAAUUAUUUUAACUUGAUUUAGGUAUGUACUACGGACAGAGCUCAAAUAAUAAAUGGGGCUUUGGAGUCUAAGGAAAUUAGGUCGGAUACAUACGAAUUAGUGCGUUUACGACGCUGUCUUCGUGAUCAAGCCUGACCCCUUAAUCUAUCGGAAAGUUUGUUCAGAACAUAUUACAGAAUUUCAAAACAUCAAUAUUUACAAUUGUGCUCUGAAUUAAAGCCGUUAAUAACCUAGAUCAUCAAGACGAACAAGAAUAGAAAGUAAAAUGCAAGGUGUUAACAGCAUAAAAUUUCAUACCAGAAACCUGUGGGAAUGAGCUUUUGCAUUUUGUUGUUUGAGUUAAACUGUAGUAAAUCCAAUGCCAUUAGGGAAGUGGCUAUGGCAUUAAACAAUCUUCCAGUUUUAUUGAAACAUUUAAAGUUUCUGCAAACAGUACAAUGGGUCACAAGUUAUUAUAAAUGGGUUUUACAAUAAAUUUGGCUAUCCUGGGGUUUUGGGGUGUAUAGAUGGCAUUCAUUUGCACUUAUCAGAUCUUCUGUAUAUGAAGAAAGGUUUUAGAACCGCAAGCAUUAUCAUUUCAAGAAUGUGCAAAUACUAAGUAUUUUGCUGAAGCCUAUCAUUCACAAUAACAAACAUUUGAUAGUACUUAUCUAAAGAAUUAAAUUUUUCAGAUCUGUGAUAGUGAUCUUAACAUUUUAAGUAUUGAUGCAACAUUUCAUGAUACAUUUGUCUGGCUUAUCACAACUGAAUAUGCCUAUGCAGGACCUGCACCAUAAUAGUGAAAAAGUUUUGUUUUUAGGCAAGUAAAACAUCAUGAGCUCUGUCUCAGUAACCUGACUACAAAAUAAUACUCAAUCUAAAAGUAUAUUUAAAACUGGGAAGGCAGUUUAUAUAUAGUACUAUAGUAAUGUUUAUUGUCAUACCAGGAACACUGUUGACCAUUGUGAGAAUUGAAGGCCAGUUGGAGAUGCUUGUUGGUACAUAGAGUACUGCAUUAUGAUCAUCAUAUGAUGGCCAAGACCAUAAUUGUUAGCUUGUAUUGCAUAACAUGGCAAACACACAUGGGUUUCCAGUGCCCCAACUCUCUGACGAAGAUGCUGAAAUUGAUGUUUCUUAUCAAAUUCAUAACAUUGUAUUUUUUGGGAGAGAAGAGGAAACACAGCACUUAGCACCAUGUCAACAUUCAAGGGUGGUUCAAUUGGAUUGUGGAGAACAGACAUUAAAUGUAGUCCAACCUCUGUAAUCUUAAUUAUGUGAACUGAGAGGGCAAGAAUAGCCUAAUUAUUUCUGCCUAUAAUUUUUUAAUUGUGUUUAGUGGAAAUAUACAUAUUUCUUUAACAUUUUUGUGUUUAUAGUAAAGGAUGGAUUCAUAACAAUUUGAAAGCAAAAUUGUGAGGUUGUUUUAUUAAGACAAUGUUUUAAUCUGUUGUGCUCAAUUUGUUCUGUAUCAUUUUAUCUUUAUGUUAACCCCGUUUGUAUGUUGUGUUGUUAUAUAUAUUAUUGUAUAUACUGCUGUUUUAAAUAAUAGAAUAGAAUGAAUAACAAAUCGACUAGUAAUUCAUAAUUCUUCUAGAUUUUGUUGGAUACUUACAUGAAUAUUACUUACAAAAUGAAAAACAUAAUUCAUAAUUUAGACAAAAUGUGGAUCAACCAAUCAUUUUUGUUCAUUGUGAUAAUAAUAAUAAUAUAAAUAUAAAUAUUUAACUGGUCCCGUGAUAAGUUCGUAAAGAACUUGUGUUACAGGUACCAGAUAACAGAAAUAAAUGUAGGAUUUUUAUUAUACACAUACAUAUAUUUAAUAUACAUCCAUAACCCUGGAAAAUACAUUUAUAUUUAUCAUACAAAUAUCUUCCCUUGGCGGGAUUCGAACCCGCGACCCCCUUGUGUAGCGACCAUGUCACUUACCACUACACCAGACGGCCGUUAGAUAAGUUUGAUAAUUAUUAUUUUUGUGUAAUUUUGUUUUAUUUGAAUAAUAAUUCUUAAAUUAGGAAA